GAUCUUGGUCAGGAUGAACGCUAGCGACAGGCUUAACACAUGCAAGUCGAGGGGCAGCAUAAAAGUAGCAAUACUUGGUGGCGACCGGCGCACGGGUGAGUAACGCGUAUGCAACCUACCUAUCAGAGGGGAAUAACCCGGCGAAAGUCGGACUAAUACCGCAUAAAACAGGGGCACCGCAUGGUGAUAUUUGUUAAAGAAAUUCGCUGAUAGAUGGGCAUGCGUUCCAUUAGGUAGUUGGUGAGGUAACGGCUCACCAAGCCGACGAUGGAUAGGGGAACUGAGAGGUUGGUCCCCCACACUGGUACUGAGACACGGACCAGACUCCUACGGGAGGCAGCAGUGAGGAAUAUUGGUCAAUGGGCGAGAGCCUGAACCAGCCAAGUCGCGUGAAAGGAAGAAGGAUCUAUGGUUCGUAAACUUCUUUUGCAGGGGAAUAAAGUGCAGGACGUGUCCUGUUUUGUAUGUACCCUGAGAAUAAGGAUCGGCUAACUCCGUGCCAGCCGCAGC
rnacentral:rRNA from 1 species